UACGGGGGGAGCAAGCGUUGUUCGGAUUUACUGGGCGUAAAGGGCGCGUAGGCGGCCACCGCAAGUCGACUGUGAAAUCUCCGGGCUUAACCCGGAAAGGUCAGCCGAUACUGCGGGGCUAGAGUGCAGAAGGGGCAACUGGAAUUCUCGGUGUAGCGGUGAAAUGCGUAGAUAUCGGGAGGAACACCAGUGGCGAAGGCGACUUCCUGGCCUGUUCUUGACGCUGAGGCGCGAAAGCUAGGGUAGCAAACGGG
rnacentral:rRNA from 1 species